CGCUGCUCCUUCUUUUGUCUAAUUACCUGUGCCAAUCAUAUGCUUGAGGAAGAUGAGUCACAUUACUGCCCAAAUAUGUGGCCACAAGACCAAAAGCUUACUGGAAAGCAAUGUUCAAUUAAAGCAAGAUCAAAGAUGGAAAGGAGGGAGAAUUGCAGCAGCACAGGUAAUAAAGGGUAACGUUAUGGCAAAUAUAUAAAGCUGAUGGGAAAGAUUUAUAGGCCACUGAGACACUUUGAAGUAAAAGUAAUGACAUGCCAAAAAAAAAAAAAAAAAAGGCUUUUGGUGGAAGACCGAUUCUUUUCCCUUUGCUUUUUAUCAGGAAAAAAAGAAAACUAGCUGGAGGAAGGCUUUUUAGGAUGGAGAUCUGACAAAAAAUGCAGUAGUAGGAGGCAGAGGAAGGGGGAAAGUAAAGUAAAAGAGUCUUCCUGCUUGUUGUUUCUGUCAAUAAAAGAAGAAACAACAACCAAAAAAAGCAGUUGUCCAGAAACUGAUUCCUGGGUAUACAUCACACUUUCCAGACCUGGAAUAUUUAGCUCAGUUAGACUCGGUACCAGUACAGAAUCAGGGUGCUCAAUAGAUUCUCGCUUCAGCAUUGGUUUCAUUCUACUCUUUCAGCUUUCUCUCCGUGAAGACCCUUGUAUCAGCAUUCAGAAUUGAUUGAAUGCAUGGAUAGCAUUUUUCCCCCUCAACUUCCAAACUGUUCGACCAAAAGUCUUACCAGAAACCUACAUCCUGUAAGGGCCAAAGGGCUUCUGUCCUUCUCUGAAGGAGCUUUGUGCUGAGUUGAACACACCUGCACAGACAAGGCAUUGUGUAUGCACAGCAUGGCAUAGAGCUUUUCUGAAAAAUCCAGCUCCCUGAACAUCCUUUGUGUGUGUGUGUAGGAGGACACAUCCUCUUGAGUGUAGAGGAUUUACUGCAGGGUAUAUAUGAAACCCUGAAAUAAAACAUAUAUGGAGCCAGCCCCAUAUUUCACAAAAACAUAGCAGUCGUUCUUCAGCUGUAUAGCAAACAUAAGACAAGUGGAACUUCCUGCAGGAUCACUUGCAUGGACAAGCCAUCUGCUCCAUUCCCAUACCAUGGUAGGUGGCAGAGGGGAGAGAGGGACUGUGGGGCCUUGUGAGAGAACACAGCUAUGGGAGAACGGGCUUGGAGCAGUGCUGCUGAGUAAAUUGAAGUUGUCCCACGUUUUAACCUGAGAUAGCAUAGGCUUGACUUUCAGAGUUACCAAGCACUUCUGUCUCCUUUUGCCUUGAGUUUGAGCUGCAGCAGCACAUGCUCAUUUGUAAUAGAGUCUCAAAUUAUAGAAAAAAAGUUCAUUUCUCAUAAACGGUGGCCCCACAUUUUAGUGGACAUACUGUGAGUGUGAUGAGCCUAAAUCAAGGCAGUGUGGAUUAAGCUGCCUCUCUAAUUUUCCAGCUCACUAUUCGAGGGUGUUUGUCAAUCUAAAACUCAUUUACAGCCUUCACAGUAUUGUCUUUUAUUAAAAUUCCUUUGAAAUUCUUAUCCAUUAUCUUGGCAUUCUGCAGAGGGUAUGAUUAUGCCCCAAAGUAUGGUUGAACAGAUUCCCUUAUAUGAAUGACAACUUCUAACCCUCCUCUGUAAGUAAUGGUUCAAUUUCUGAGUCGUCUUUUUUUUUCUUCUCCUUACCAUUUGAUAUCUCAGGACACAUUUCUACCGAUCUGAAUCUAAAUGAGGCGGACAGCUAUCUUUGAUUUGUUUCUGUUCCUUCUCAUCUAUACAAAAUAGCUUGCAUUAAUCGUAUUAAUAAAAAAUGGCAUUAAAAUUACCAAGUUUUAAAAAGACACAUGACAGUGAUAUUACCCACCAAGUUGCAAGUCAUUGUGCAUGCAUAUUAAUUACAAGUUGUCUUAGAUUUCAGGACAUGCUCAAAGGAAUGACAUUUUUCCCUGUAUGUUGUUUUUAAUUUUGGGAAGCUCUCUUGUAAUGCAAAAUGUAUCCCAUCCUAAUGCAGUUCUCUAAUCACAGCAUGCUUUAAUUCUGAUAGAUGACCCCUGAAUGCUUUGAGUCUACUAAGAUUCACGGUAAUUAGAAUGAUUUUCUAAUACUUUGUUUCCUGAGCUGUCCGUGGUGGCUUCCAUCUAUCAUCAGAUGGAUUUGUUUACUCAUUCAGAUCAAGUAAUUUGAAUUGGAAGCUUAUAUUUGUCGCUGUGUGGUGGAGGGAAUGUUAUCAUUUAUUUCACUCUCAUCACUGCUCCCUCUUUUUGAGGGAUUGUGCUCUGAAGAAGCACAUGUUUUUCAGUAAGGUUUGAAGCCCUCCCUCCCUCAGUCUCCAAGCAGGAGCACUGAUCAGUGCGAGUGUUAACAGUCUCCACAUCCAUCCUGGAUGCCAGCCAUGGAAAUUGGAAGCACAAGGUAGAAUUCACCAGGCAUUUUCUUUUUUAUCUCUGUUCCACUUUUCUCUCUCCUUUCUCUUUUUAAUCUAAUGCUUCUUUGCGCGUACAAAUCUAGUGUGUUUUCAGUAUGGAAUAUUUUUUGAAAGUGGCUGUAUAAAACAAGACAGUGUUGAAGAAGUUCAUCGCCUGUACUCUCCAGGUAACCUGUCAUUUUUGUCCUGCCUCUGUCAUUCCUCAUCUGUCCUUGGAGGAGCAGCAGCAUCUUUCUCAGUAGUGCUUCACUGUCUUAUCAGUGUUGACUCGCACCCUUUCCCUGUCCCGUUGUUUUCUUUCACCACUUUGCAUGUUAGGUCUGUCCUUUCGUAUCUCUGCUCCCCACUCCCACACAUUUCCUCCCUUCUUUCCCUGGAAUGCAUUUUCCCCUCCUUUGGUUUUUCUUGAUCACAUUCCUCCACGCCAGCAACCUCAUGCUGGGGCUGUGUAACACUCCAUCCCACCUUCUCUCCAGAGCCUCCUGUCACAGGGCUUCCUCCUUGUCCCUGAUCCCAAGCAGCAGAUGCUGUGGCACAGUGCAGCAGGAUCUUAUAUUGCCAUGCAAGGCAAGAGGCUGCUAACCCUCGAACAGCUUUAUCAAUGGUUCAGUGCGGGGAGGCAGUUAAGUAAUAGCUGCCAGCCCCAGAGGAAAGAGCAAUAAACUUGUCUCUCUGGGCAGUGAGCUGGAGGAGCAGCUGGAAUCCAGCACAUGCCUUUGUCUGGCAUGUGUUGGAUGGAGCUCCAUCAGCCAGUGGGCUGAGAGCAAGGAGCACAGCCUGCAAAGCAGCACCCUGGCCUGGCCCUCUAGCAUGAUGUUUGCAAGGCUUUGCUCGCACGCAGGUGGUUUCACUCACUAUUUGAGAGGUGAUGAGACCACAUCCCAGCCAAGGACAAGGUGGGAAGUCUGUGCCACCAUUCGCCAGUGCCUGGGUGUAUGUGGUGAGCCCAGGAGGUUCCUGAUGUGAAAAACCAAAAAGGGAUAAUUUCUUCCUGAGCAGGUUAAUAAUCAGAUCAUAUUAACAAGUAAAAUUUGAUUAGGCUUCUGAUUAGGAAGGAAUAAGCCAGGAGUUUGAAGCUUGUUGUGUCAACAGAACAGAUUAGCUUCAAUAUGAUGUUCUGCUUUCAUUAAGAAAUUGAUAAUAAAAUUAUAGCAUCUGAAUUCCUCAUGAGAUUCUGAACAUGAUACAAAGCUUUGAGAUGAUGGCUAAAUGUUACAGGAUAGCACACUGAGACUUUUAGUCAACAACCAGGUAGAAGUGUGUCAAAUCAUUUAAUUGCAAUAAAAAUAGUAAUGAGGGGUCAUGCAAGUGUUAUCUCUAACUUAAAUAAGUGAUUACACAGUACAGUGUUUGGAAAAACCUGCUGGGUUGCUGUUUGGCUGUGUAGAGGACCCUGAGUGUACUAUGGUACAAGGCUGUAUUUGCUGAAUAUAGCAGUUAAACAGUGGCCACGCAGAUUGCAGCCCCAUUCAGUGCUGGAAAAGUUCUGAGCAGUUCUGACUGUUGAACCUUUUCAUUAAGAAGUGUUAUGCUAAACAAUGUCACCAGCACUUCAUGAAUGGGUUAAUUAAAUGCAAUAAGUAACUGCCAAAGUAGUUUUCUCUAAAAUGGUAAUGAAGUUUGGGUUUUGGCAGAGAGCAGAUUUUAGAUGAAAAGGAGAAAAUCAUUCUUGUACAUCUUGUCAUGGAGCUGGGUUCUCUCAGCAGGUUUAGCAAUGGCCAGCAGAACUCCACGCACCAACCUGUUGUCAUUCUUCUUGCAUUCAUUCAAACCAGUAUAACACAAAUUCAGUGUAUCAGCUGGAAAGCUGUUAAAAACAUAUUGUAAAUGCCUAACAUAUUUAGGAACAUAAGUAAUGCUAAGCUUACAUUUCUCAUCAGAAUAGGAUCUGGUGCCAGCAUUAUGAAUCAUAGACUGCUCAGCAUCAGUAAGGGAAAAAAAAAAAACACAAAAACACACCAUUAAUGCUGCCUUGCUCUGCAGGCACCAGGGCUGUACUGAGAGGAAAUGAUCUCUGGUGCAAGCGGAGAUGGACUGCAAAUUCCAACUACAAACUUCCACCUGCUGUCAAGAGCAAUUACGGGUCAGAAGAAUGUGCCGUGAUGAUUGCUUGAUCUUUGUGCCUCUCCACCUUGCUCCCUGCCCUCCUGUAGUACUGCGGUGUGCUCAGUCUCCUGCGAAGUACUGUGGGGAAAGGCUGAAGUCUCCCUUGUUCAGCGUUGGAGCUAAGCUGGUUUCUGCCAGCCUGAGGAUCCCACCCUCUUCUAGAGACACAGGUCCUGACCCUCUGCUCCAAGAGAAGGCCCACACAACCACACAGAACCCCCCGGACCUCAUGGGACUCUCUGCACCAGCUGGAUUCUACAGGUUGAACAGAUUUGCAGUAUCACAGUCAGCAACAGCAUGAGCUCGAUCCCAGCUGGGCAAGCUUGUAUACCUGUUGCACUUUUACUAGCUUAAUAUACAGUGUCUCUUUCCAAGAGCACAUGGAGAAUCAUACCACUUUGUGAGAUCCUGAAUAGAAGAAUGAUUGCAGCAUUGAUGAAGAAAGCCCAUCAAGAAAUAUUGCUUCCAGUAAGGCAAGAGCGCUCCUGUGAGCAUUUAAAGCCAUAACUCAAAACCUUUGAAGUGUUACCUACACACAGGUAGGUAUAUACCACGGUGGUAUACUAUACAGUUUCUUUUUUUUUUUUCAAUUCCCCAAGUGCACAAGUCAAAACAACAACAACAACAACAACAAAAACAAGUACUAACAUAUCUAAAUGCCACAUUGCUUUAGUGUGUGUGUAUGCAGGUUAGAACUUGUAACUGGCUGGGGACUCGAGUCCGUUCUCGUAUCAUCAGAGUCAAAACCACUCCACUUCCUAUCCGCUUCCUAUGCACAAAAGGUAAGCAACAGAGCCAAGCUAACCCUGUGAUUGUUAGACAUGGAUUGCUGGAGAGAAGAGGUGGCCAGACGUUAAAUUUUAUGGUAUUAAACACCCACCUGGAAUGAUGACUGACACGUUUUGUCUCUUAAGUCUCAGAUUUAUGAUUGUUUUCUUCUAGUUUUUUAUUUUCUUCUAUAUUUCCGAGAUCUUUGUCUACAUGUUUUGAUGCUGUCCUAGAAUGAAAGAUUAGGGUUAUUUUUGCACUUCUACAGCACUCUGUUCCAUACUCACAUUAAUGAUGCUGCUCCCUGCCCCCCUUCCUACAGUUCUGUUUGGAGUGGAGCAAUAGGCUUGCAUAUGACUGUAAAUGGACCAAAAGCACCAGUUUCUCCACUGAAGCCGUACUUGUGUGUUUUAUAUCUUGGGAAAUGCAGAAUUAUUCUGAGCUAGCAAAGUAUGGUUGAACUGGUUGCGCAAACCAAUGUAUCUAGACAAAUUAAUUGUGUAGCUUGUUUCAAUAAACAAGAGUUUGCUUUAAGGCGUACUAAAAUGUUACAAGUGUGGCUAAGAUAUCUUGAUCAACAUAGCAAUCUUUUGUGUACUCGUAGUAAUUGGCUUUCAGAGGCUGUUCCAGACAGCAGCUCUUUAACUGUGAAGAAAUUAAUGAAAAUUCAGGCAGCACCAAAAAAAGAAAACAUUCUGUCUUCCAGAUCUGUGCUGGCUCUGACUGACAAGGUUUAGGUAAAGAAGGGAUUGUGUAAAUGUUUGAGGGGGAGAAAAGAGGUAUGCCUCAUUUAAAAUAGCAGGUUGUCUUUAAUACGAGUGGUGGAGAUGAAUUAAUGAGUAAAGUGCUUAGUUUGGCUUAGCACAAUAAAACCACUAAGCCAUUCAUUUAAUGUGUGAGAAGCCUCACUGUCUGCCAAGGUGAAAGAUUCCUGCAGAGCUGCGAUAACAUUUUGAAGGCCACAAUUUUUAAAAUGUAAAUGGGCAAAUGUGUUUGAGUGGGACAAAGUAAAUCCCUUGUGUCAAAGCAGAUUAUGGUAUAGGCAUUUUCUCUACGGAUAAUUUGUUUCCCCUACAGAAAAGUAACAUCUGUUGUGACAGAUUUAUGCAUAUGCUCACCCUUGCUUCAGGGUAAAGAUCUGCGGUGACACUGACUUGCAAAAUGCAAUGAAGACACAGGUAGGUAGGCAAGGGAGUGUGACAUAGGACGCGGACACCAUGCAGGUAUGUAUCUCACAAAAACACCAAUUCCAAUUGUUUGCUAUCGGAGUGUUUCAGUGCGCAUCCUCCAUCUGAGCAAAGGCUGCGAGCUGGGGCUGAGCUCUGCGUGUGCCCUGAGCUGAAGGAGCAGUAAAAGGUACUGUCAAUAAAGCACUGUUUAGUACUUAUCUCAGCAGAGCUUCUACCAGGUGCCGAUGCACCUGGCUCCUCAGCACCCCUGGGAGUGCAGUGGGAGAAGCGUGUGAUGAGCAGUGCCAGAGGGCGUGCAAUUUAGGGUCCCAAAUCCCACAGAGUACGCUGAAUGGAACCACUCUAAGACCAGAAAGGUUUUGAAGUAGGUUACUUCCUUGGUGGUUCAAACUUGUAAUGCCUCCAAGUUGCAUUUACCUUUUACUGAUGCUCUCAGACUGCCUCUGUUCUGCUUGUGUGGCUGACAGAAGGGCAGGUGUCUGUGCAGAAACAGUUUUGCUGUAAGCCCUCUUAUACACAGAUCCGAACUACUGAUUGUCACAGGCAAAUCUAAUUUUAAAAAUGCCAAAUUUGAAACCCAAAGUAACAUGUUCUACAGUGGCAAGUUAUCUAAAAUACCGAUAUCUAAAAGCCUGGAAGCACGUUCAGUGCACAGGAGGAAAGGAUGUAAGAUGUAAUGAAGAAGAAAAUCCCAUGAUUUGGUAGAGAUCGACCUUCUCCUGUGAUCAUAGUAACCCUUCACAAAUCUCUUUAAUCCUAGUUAAAAAACAAACAAAUAAAAUAUCCAAACAAAUAAAACCUUUAAAAAUUUGGAAAACUAUUUUUUUUCUAAUUAAAUUAAAAUGUAAAAAAUUGUUUGUUUUAGGUAGAGCACAGAAUCUGUCUUGUCACAGAUAACAAGCCUUUUCCAUAAAGAAGUCUUUCACAAAACUGGAGAUGGUAAGGAAAGAGAUGAAAAGCUGAAAGAAUCUGGAUCUGGGCAACUGCCAGAGCUGAUAUGAGCUGGAGGUGGGGAAGCAGCGCUGUGCUCAUCUGCUCUCACUUUAUGUGAGCACUUGGGGCUGCUCCUGCAGACGAGUGAGUGGAAUGGACAGACAAUUGGCAUGGCUCAGCAUGAUGCCUUUUUUUGGCCUCUUAUCCACAGUUUUAUAGGACCUAAGGCAGACUGGAUCUCAAAUGACCUGACAACUAACCACCUAAUGACAGGGAACUGUAACUAAGUGGCAUUACUGUUCUUUGAUCAGGUUAAAAUGGAUCAAUGACUACAGCUGGUAGGUCCUGCACUGCUAUCAAGAUGUAUUUUUCAGGUGUUCUACUGUAGCUCUGCAUUCAAUGGAACCAUGGUGUUCCCCUCACUAAAUGCCAUCUCUGUUUUCCUAGAGCCAACAAGGGUGAGAAUGGAGAGGUGAAAGGCAGCAUUCUGACUUUGAAAGAGAGUUCCCCAGAAUCCUGAUGUGGAGCACAGUGAGUAUUGCUUGUCUGAAAUCAGAGCAGCUUUUCAUGUCAGAAAGCCACACAGAUUUAGCUUUUCAUCAUCUGAGACUGAAAUACAUACAAAGUUCAAUUCUACUGUCUUGGUGAUCUCGCUGAUCGCUAAAUGCUGAUACAUGGGCAGAUUCACCACCUCAGUACAAAUUCUAUUCCUGUUUUUUUUUUUUUUAAGUGCUAAAUAGUAUUAUUAAGAGAGAGAAUCAAAAUUUGGACUGAGUUGCAGCGGUGUGAUCCAUUGGCAGUGCUGUGCCAACAGCAGACGAAUGGGCAACCCUGGUAUGGCACCAACCCUCAGGGCUUGACAGAUAUUGCCAGGGCUUGCAACAGAGUAAUGGCUCAAAACAGAGUUUCCGCCAUUUGCUGAAGUGACUUGAGACCUGAGAAUGGUCCUUUGCUACCUUAACAUUCAACGGCUGUUUCUUAAUUUUUUUGUGCACUGACUGCUGUCCACUUGCUCCACUUGUAGCUAAAGAGAGAAUUCCCGAUGACAUCUGAGCAGCUGGGCAACUCUGAACGGACUCACAUAUACCAGAGAAUGUGCCAAAAAGGGCAUGACAGCCCAUUUUGUCCCUGUCAUCUCACACACAUGAUUAACAGAUCCAAUAAGCCCCUACUUUAGUAUGCUUUGGCAAUGUUGUACCAUCCCUGGAGGCAUUCAAGGCCAGGCUUGAUGGGUUCCUGGCCAGCCUGAUCUAGUGGUUGGCAACCCUGCCCACAGCAGGAGGGUUGGAACUAGAUCAUCUUUGAGGUCCCUUCCAACACAAGCCAUUCUAGGAUUCUAUGAUAUUGCUCUAUGAUAUUGUGAAAGUUGGUUGUAUUCAUAUGAGCUUACUUAUAUCUCUUGGCUGGUUCUUUUUUUUUUUUAAUCAUUUUUUAAAACAGAUCAUUCCGAGCUCUUGCUAAAAUCAUGAUUCAUUUAUCUAUGCUCGCUCUUCAGGAAAAUAAUUAUCCUCGGGGAAUGCUAAUCAAAAUGUCUCUGUAAGUAGUGCCAAAAUGAGGUCUUCAGGGUUUUUUCUGUGUGUGUGUUGAGGGGCCAUUAUUUUCAUGCAUUUUGUUUAGAUACUUUUGAUAACAUUAUUCUUAAUAUAAAGACUUUUUUUUUUUCUAUCUCCAUUGUUUUGCUUGCUUUAUUGUAAACACACACUACAUAUAGGUUACACAUACCCACACAUAUAUAUAUCCUUUGGAGUUUAACCCCUAAUUUCUUUUUCUCUCAUGCAUCUAAACCUCAGCUGGAAUUCUGCUUAAGAAGAAAAUCUGCAGUGCCUUUUGUCCUGUUAUCCAGCUUGUGAUAAUGACAGGUAAGAGAACACACAUAGAUGUAGUUCUGGGUGUUGAAGCAAGAGCUAUGAACUUUGUUGUCUGCAGUACUUUUGAAAGGCAUGUUAAGACACUGAACUGUAACACUGGAAAGGAUUCUGUAGGAGCUGAGGAUCUUACCCAAGCAAAUCUGGACUAUUUGCAACCUCUUUCCAUUCUCCCCAAUUUUGCCUUCUAAUUCCUACAAUUACCUUCAAAUGCCUAUCAGUAGGAAGAAAGGCAAAAAGAAAAACACUCCAGUGAUAUAGAAAGGAGUGAUUUUGGUAAAUUCAAUUUAUUCAAUUUUCAUGCAAGUUUUGUGAUGUUAACUGACACUUCCAGAGUUGUUCACAACUUGGUCUUUUCUCUGGAAAGCAAUUGCAUGAAAAACUACGCGAGUGCUGCAUCUUGCUGAAAACAUACAGCAAGUUGCCUGUAUAUUUGCCCUGCUACAUUUGGUUUCAUAUGCUAAUUUCCUAUAAAGUAUCAGUACAGCAGAAUUGCUAUGCUUCAAGUGUUCAGUUUCAGAGCGAGACUAGUAACAUUCUUGAUUACUGUGAUCUAAGGAGAAUUUCAAUAUUUUGUUGUGCUCUGAGCAUGAACAAUUUUAAGACUGCUGCUGUGCUUCAAUUUGCCCAGCUGCAUAUACUUUUGCUGUCUUUUAAACUACUUUAACCUUUUCCUAGCAUCAUACAAAAGGAGAUUUGCAUACCUCUAGACCCAAAGAGCAAAAAUGGGCAAAGGUUCAAUCUACACACAGUGCUUCCAUGGAGAACAGGGAUGCAGGGUGCAUUGCUUUCUUUCUAAACCUUUAAUGUGUACAGAACUCUCAGUAGUUUCUGGCAACAUGAAAAUUUUGUAUAUGAAGGAUUUACAGAAGAUGGCUGUUCUAGAACUGCUCAACUGAAAUAUGGCAAAAAUUUUAUUAAGAUUCUUCAGUGCUAUAUUAUAUCCUCUGUUCAGUGCUAAUUAGAUUAAAAUAUGCUUUUUGGAAAAUGGACAAGGCUGUAGAAAACAAGCAUUUGGCCUUCUGCUCAGAUGAAGGAGAAAUAAAACGUGCUGGGAUAGGGAACCUCAGCUCUUAAUGUGAGAGGGGGCUUGUUGCAGGAUGUGGAAUACAGAAAAGUCCUUGAUUUAUGGGAUAAUAUUCAUAGUGAAAAGAAUAUGUGGCAAUAAUCAGCUUUUGCAUCAAGUGGAGCUGAGGCAGUGAAUAACUCUAUAAGUGAUUUAUUGUGAAUAUAUUCCAAGGCUACAAGUGUAAUUUCUACUUAGUGUGGAUGACAAAACAGUAGAAGAUUAUACAAACCACAACACCCAUAAUGACAAAAGUAAUGUUUUUCUUGCCUCGGCAGACUUGGAAAGUUCUGUGCUGCUGCCUUCUCAGACUUUCCUUUGGCAUCGCUUUGGGGAUAGAGAUUAGGUGAGUUACUGCUCAAGGGUGGGUUCAAAAAGUGACUACUACCUGUUGGCCUGCACAGGGAUGGACAGUUGUGAUUGGACACAGGCUGUAUCUGAAGGUGUAAGGUGCUUUUUACAAGGACUAUUUUUAUCCCUAGACUACAACUUGUGCUGAAAACUUUGUCAGAGAAUAGGUACUGACACUCAGUUUGCUCUUGCAAGUACAGCACGCACAAGUUAGGGAUGAUAAAAACAGGUUAACUUCAAUAUGUGCUGAGAACAUGAGAUUGUCAGUGACAAUGGGUCCAUUAGGGGUUUCAGAAGCCAGCAACACUGUAUGAAAUAGGAAGACUAUUAUUUAACUAUAAAGGUUUAUUAUUAUUAUUUGUUCCCGGUGAACCUUUCUAAUAAAUUCAAGCUCUAAUUUUACUCGGCGCAUGUCUAAGAGAAAUUGAGCACAAGGAAAAGAAAAAAAGAAUAUAGAAUAUUCCAUUUAGAAUAUAAUGUAUCCUAUAUUUGAAGAGGAAAAAGCUAUCUUAAAUCACAAGCUCAUUUCAGCAAAUGACAUCCUAUAAUCUAAGUUUCUCAUUGGCUCUUACCACACUAUAUAAUGGUGCAGAAAAAGAUACUUCACCUUCUCUGCCCUCCUUGUAUCCUACCACCUCUUGCAAAAACCCAAUCACUGCAUCGUUUUAUGACUGCUCAUUCUCAUAUUCAAAACAGAUGAGAGAAAAUGAUUCUAGAUGCUAUUACAAGAGUAGCAAAGUGUGGGAGGAGGAGCUCAGUGUUAUUGUACUAGAUGAUUUUAGUUUUCCAAUCUUAAUGAUUCUAUGGUUCUAUUAUUGCUACUUAAUUUGUGACCAAAAGAAUCAUGAACUUUGCAAAAAAAGUGCUACAGUCCUCCCCCCCACCCUUCUAUAAUAUCUGAAUGUGGUUUUGUGCUCAGUCAUUUACAGCAGUUCUUUAUUUGCAGAACUUCCAAAAACCACUUAGUUAUGUCUGGAGUACAUUCCUUAUGUAAUAUCCAAAAAAUAUCAUUUUCUAAGAAAAGUAGAUUGAGAAUUCCUUGUUACACUUUCUGUCACUGUUACAUUUUAGAUUUCAUUAAAGUUAGCUCAAAUGAAAAGUCACAAAAAGAACUUUAAGAUUUUUUUUUAGAUAUACUUGUGCUGAUUUGUGCUUAUUAUGCAUAACUUCUUUAAUCUCCCUAUUUAAAAAGUUGUUAAGAACAAGCUUCCAGACAGCAAGCCUGUUCUGAGUUCUCCCUAGGGACAUAUAUAUGGUGAUAAGGCCAAAUGGGCCACAGUCAUGGCCUUCUUUAAAAUUAUGGAAAAAGAUGGCUACUCCUUAUAAAAAUAAACUGGAUGAUCUCAAAGUAGGCCUGAAUGAUAAUACAGAAACUUGAAAGCCAAGCAAACCUCAAUGGCAAAUCCUGCGCUUGCUUAGGUUGAUAAAAAAUACUCAUUUGGAUGCCAGCUUCUAUCUUUUCAGCAACAAAAGGUCUUCCUUUACCAUUUUUACUUCUAUAGGUCUCAAAUGAAUGAAGGAUCUAGAAGAUUUAAAUCUAUUCUUCAAUUUUGUCCAUGUUUUAAAGCAGAAGAGUUACCCAAAUUUUAAGUGUAGACAGUUUCUAGUAGCAGUAGAGCCACACAGGAGGUGACUUCCCACAAUUAACUCACAGGUACCAUAUCAGCACAGAUUUGGCUGUCAGGAAGUAGAACAUCAUUAGAGACAACUAACUAUGAAAAGUCUUGGAGUAAGCUGCCCUUAUCCAAGAGAAGUGUCUUGUUAAGCUUUAGGGCAUGCCAAUCAGAAGUGUCAAGUUUCCUUUCUCUAUUAAAUGCACCUAGUAUAACAACUUGUUCCCUGUCAGACUACUGAAAUGCUGCAGGAAGGAAAACAGGUAAAUAUAUGUUUGUGUUUAUGAUUAUUUUUUAAAAUUUAGUAUCAAGUUUUCCAUAAAUUCUUACUUUGAUUUCUUCACAUAGAGCCAGUAGACAACACCUGCAACCAGGGCAACCAGCAGAAGACCGACUACAAUCCCCACGAUUAGCUUUGCCUGGUCAUUAACCUUUUCGCUGUUGUCAUCUGAAGCAAAGAAGAAAAAUUAAUGAGUUAACCUAUGACGAAGAAAAGUACUACAGCAUUUUAAAAAUAUUUGCAUUAGAAACAAGAAAAGGAGUCAGAACAUCAAAAUGAAAAAAAAAAAGAACAAACUUUUGAAACGAGCAAGCAAAAAAAACAAAACACUUAAAGCUUCAAGAAAGUCACGUUCUUAGUCAAUCAUGGUGCUGCCUGUUACGGAUCACGUUGAGUCCUGUUAUGAAGGACUGUUCAGUGACUCUGCAUAUGUCUUAGUCUGAGACAAUCAAGAGAAAGGGUUAUGGGGAUGGAAAACCAUACAUACCAUUUCUAUCCUCCGGUUCAUCAUAUUCUGGAAUACUUACUGAAAUGAAAAACAUUAAAGAUAAAACAUGUUAUAAAGUGAACGUUACUUUAAAUUAUUUGCAUGAGUGACGCAAAAAAUAAUAAUACAAUAUUUGCCAAAUAUUUUUGAGAAAAAGCCAUUAUUUUAUAACUGUAAGAUAUCCAACCGAAGAAUCUUGUUCAAUGCUUUAAUAUUAAUCUCAGAAAUAUUUAUGUGCUCCUCUUUCACAACUACUAGCUUCUUGAUUCAUUUCCUCAUUGAAAAUUGAAAAAGUCAAUACCACUGAUGAUAAACUGGAAUUUGAGGAGUAAAAGAUUGUUUAUUACUACAUAACCAAGACUUUGUCUUUUAGAACUAAUAUUUUAUGUAUACCAAAUGUAUAUUCUUUUGUACCAUCAUGAUGUAAUAUUAACUAUAAUACUCCUAAGUACAUAUGUGUGUGUAUAUGUAUAAAACUAACUUAUGCUUUAUAAAUAUAUAUAUUAUAUACUUAUAUUGAAUAUGAAAUUAAUAUAUUGCAUACAUGAUAUAACUAGUCAAGGAAGAUUAUGUGACUUCAUCCAGAAAGCUAUCAACACAUUCUGUACACUAUUAUACUAUUAUGGUUCUAUUUGCCAUUGCUUGCCUUUUAAGACAAAAAGGUAACUACCUUAGUUCCAACAUCAUUAUGCACAUCCAGCCUUCAUUUGUGUGUGAAGUGUGGAUACUUUACGUGAAACUACAACUUUCAGAAAAUGGUCUUUAGAAGAUACUCACUAGCAGAGACAUUCAGAGAGGUCACAGUCCUUUCUAGCUCAUUUUCUGCAAUGCAUGUUAAUGUUACAUUUUCCUCAGGAGCAAUUAUAAUUUUACUGGAAAAUUUUCCAUUAACAUAUUUGGUCUCCUCUGUCUGAAAAGGUUAAAAAAAAAAAUAAAUGAAGGUUGGUAUCCUUGAAAAAUGUAAAGAACAAAAAAUUUAUUAUCUGUAUUUACGCAGUGAAAAUGUUUAGAGAGAAAUAACAUCAACAAUAUUUCAGUUUUCCAAAUAAUACAUUAUUUUAUUACACGGUAAUGUGAGCAUUUGGAUUACCCAGUCUUUUUUUGUAGCUAUAUCUACAUUUUGCACAGCAUGUACUGCAAUAAGACUUGAAAAGAGGUGUUUUUUAGAAUUUCACCACACCCUGUACUUGUUUUUGUUCCUUCCAACUAGUUAAAGAAAAUCAAAGGAACAAAAUUCUCCAAGGAAACCCCAAAAUGAGACUUCUAAGUUUCCGUUUCUUUCCAGCUUGAUCUUUCUCAUUUAUGCCUUUGUAAGGGGAAAUGGCCACUGUAAGAUUUCCACUUUACAAGAUUCCAAGUCAUGAGUUGUUUCCACCCAAGAAUCAUUUUGGCAGGCUACAUCUAUUUAGUGGUACCUGCAGCAUCUGUGCUGUAAUGGUGAUAUCGAGGUGUUCCUUACAUUUGCUGUACGUCAUUCUUACAUUAAUACCAUGUCCAGAAAAACAUUCGAUUAAUUAGUUACAUAGGCACACACAAUUCCUAACCUACAGUUGCAAGUAAAUGGGCACGUCUUCACAGUCAUGUAAUUUCUGUAGGACUAAAGCAAAACCUUAGGAAGUAGUGAAAUUUGCAGGAACAAUGGGCAUUAUACUUCCAGUCUUUGUUUGUAUACAUGUCUAAUUUAUUUUUCCUGUCAAGACAAAAUAUGACAAUGCUCUGCAUGGGUUUUGGUUAUCAAUAUGAAAAUAUUCCAGUUUGAUCAUUUUUCAGAUAUUUUUCAAGCUGCUUAAGUCUCCUUAUUUCUCCCCUAGGCUGACUGCAUUUUGGUUUUGUUUCCAGUAAGAAACAAUGGGUAUAACCAUACAAAAAUAACAUAUACAUUAGGGUAAAACUGGAAAGUCCAUUAGGAACUAUAGCGAGCAUAUUUUCUGAUUUUUACUUGUGACACUUGCCCCAGUUAAUGCCUACAUCAAGCACCUUACUGCUUUCUAACACAAAUUUCACAGUCCAUCAGUAUUUGUAAAUCCUAUAUGUAUUGGUAAAGCCACCACAUUAUCCAAGCAAAAUGACUGAAUAACUUAAAAAUGCAGAUUUUAAUUGUAAACUUCUCUUUUUAUUUUUAGCUUUGUCUUGUAGGUGAUAGAACUUGUGUACCUUUGUCUGCUAUAUUCAAAAGCCCUUCAUCAUCAGAAAUUAUCCAUGCAGGUACCAGGUAGCUACUGUCCACGUAGCCUGUAAUAUCAUUUAACCCUCCUUCUCUCAAAGAAAUAAAACUGAUUAAACUCCUUCAAUCUAA